CCUACGGGAGGCAGCAGUGGGGAAUAUUGCACAAUGGGGGAAACCCUGAUGCAGCAACGCCGCGUGAGUGAAGAAGUCAUUCGCGAUGUAAAGCUCUAUCAGCAGGGAAGAAAAUGACGGUACCUGAGUAAGAAGCCCCGGCUAACUACGUGCCAGCAGCCGCGGUAAUACGUAGGGGGCAAGCGUUAUCCGGAUUUACUGGGUGUAAAGGGCGUGCAGCCGGAGAGACAAGUCAGAUGUGAAAUCCACGGGCUCAACCCGUGAACUGCAUUUGAAACUGUUUCCCUUGAGUGUCGGAGAGGUAA
rnacentral:rRNA from 1 species